UAGCCUGCGAAAAGCUCCGGGGAGGCGGCAAAUAUCCUGUGAUCCGGAGAUGUCUGAAUGGGGAAACCCACUUACCAUAAGGUAGGUAUUGCAACAUGAAUACAUAGUGUUGCAAGGCGAACGAGGGGAAGUGAAACAUCUCAGUACCCUUAGGAAAAGAAAUCAAUUGAGAUUCCCUCAGUAGCGGCGAGCGAAAGGGGAAGAGCCCAUUAAGUCAUAUAAGUUCUAGUGGAACGCUCUGGGAAGUGCGACCGUAGACGGUGAUAGUCCUGUACACGAAAGGGCUUAUAUGAUGAUGUCGAGUAGGGCGAGGCACGUGAAACCUUGUCUGAAUAUGGGGGGACCAUCCUCCAAGGCUAAAUACUCCUGACUGACCGAUAGUGAACCAGUACCGUGAGGGAAAGGCGAAAAGAACCCCUGUGAGGGGAGUGAAAUAGAUCCUGAAACCGCAUGCAUACAAGCAGUGGGAGCCGGCUUAGUCCGGUGACUGCGUACCUUUUGUAUAAUGGGUCAGCGACUUAUAUUCAGUAGCAAGGUUAACCGCAUAGGGGAGCCGUAGGGAAACCGAGUCUUAAUAGGGCGUUUAGUUGCUGGGUAUAGACCCGAAACCAGGUGAUCUAUCCAUGAGCAGGUUGAAGGUUGGGUAACACUAACUGGAGGACCGAACCCACUGUCGUUGAAAAGCCAGGGGAUGACUUGUGGAUAGGGGUGAAAGGCUAAUCAAACUUGGUGAUAGCUGGUUCUCCCCGAAAGCUAUUUAGGUAGCGCCUCGGACGAAUACCAUUGGGGGUAGAGCACUGUUUCGGCUAGGGGGUCAUCCCGACUUACCAAACCGAUGCAAACUCCGAAUACCAAUGAGUACUAUCCGGGAGACAGACUGCGGGUGCUAACGUCCGUAGUCAAGAGGAAAACAAUCCAGACCGCCAGCUAAGGCCCCAAAAUUAUAGUUAAGUGGGAAACGAUGUGGGAAGGCAUAGACAGCUAGGAGGUUGGCUUAGAAGCAGCCACCCUUUAAAGAAAGCGUAAUAGCUCACUAGUCGAGUCGGCCUGCGCGGAAGAUGUAACGGGGCUAAAACUAUAUGCCGAAGCUGCGGAUGCAUAAUUUAUUAUGCGUGGUAGGGGAGCGUUCUGUAAGCCGAUGAAGGUGGAUUGAGAAGUCUGCUGGAGGUAUCAGAAGUGCGAAUGCUGACGUGAGUAACGACAAUGCGAGUGAAAAACUCGCACGCUGAAAGACCAAGGGUUCCAGUCCAACGUUAAUCGGGGCUGGGUGAGUCGACCCCUAAGGCGAGGCCGAGAGGCGUAGUCGAUGGGAAAUUGGUUAAUAUUCCAAUACUUCUGUGUAAUGCGAUGAGAGGACGGAGAAGGUUAAGUCAGCCUGGCGUUGGUUGUCCAGGUGGAAGGUUGUAGGCAUGUAUCUUAGGCAAAUCCGGGGUACUCUAUGCUGAGAACUGAUAGCAAGCUGUACUUGUACAGUGAAGUGGCUGAUACCAUGCUUCCAGGAAAAGUCUCUAAGCUUCAGUUACACAGGAAUCGUACCCGAAACCGACACAGGUGGUCAGGUCGAGUAGACCAAAGCGCUUGAGAGAACUCUGCUGAAGGAACUAGGCAAAAUGGUACCGUAACUUCGGGAGAAGGUACGCUGUUGUCUGUGAUAGGACUUGCUCCUUGAGCGGCCGACAGCCUCAGAAACCAGGCCCCUGCAACUGUUUAUUAAAAACAUAGCACUCUGCAAACACGAAAGUGGACGUAUAGGGUGUGAUGCCUGCCCGGUGCUGGAAGGUUAAUUGAUGGGGUUAGCGUAAGCGAAGCUCUUGAUCGAAGCCCC
rnacentral:rRNA from 1 species